GUCCUUACCUGGCAGAGGAGCUUGUGUGAUCACAAAGGUACUCUUCUUACAGAUAGGUUUGUCCAACGCACUCUGGAUGUGCUGACCCCCAAGACUCCCACACAUGAGAAACUGCAGAAUUUGUGCUGCUGGGGUAAAACAACAAAAACUGAUACACCUAA